rnacentral:rRNA from 1 species
GACGAACGCUGGCGGCGUGCUUAACACAUGCAAGUCGAACGGAAAGGCCCUGCUUUUGUGGGGUGCUCGAGUGGCGAACGGGUGAGUAACACGUGAGUAACCUGCCCUUGACUUUGGGAUAACUUCAGGAAACUGGGGCUAAUACCGGAUAGGAGCUCCUGCUGCAUGGUGGGGGUUGGAAAGUUUCGGCGGUUGGGGAUGGACUCGCGGCUUAUCAGCUUGUUGGUGGGGUAGUGGCUUACCAAGGCUUUGACGGGUAGCCGGCCUGAGAGGGUGACCGGCCACAUUGGGACGGAGAUACGGCCCAGACGCCUACGGGAGGAAGCAGUGGGGAAUAUUGCACAAUGGCGGAAGCCUGAUGCAGCAACGCCGCGUGCGGGAUGACGGCCUUCGGGUUGUAAACCGCUUUCGCCUGUGACGAAGCGUGAGUGACGGUAAUGGGUAAAGAAGCACCGGCUAACUACGUG